UACGUAGGGUGCAAGCGUUGUCCGGAAUUAUUGGGCGUAAAGAGCUCGUAGGCGGUCUGUCGCGUCUGCUGUGAAAACUCAGGGCUUAACCCUGAGCUUGCAGUGGGUACGGGCAGACUAGAGUGCGGUAGGGGGAGACUGGAAUUCCUGGUGUAGCGGUGAAAUGCGCAGAUAUCAGGAGGAACACCGGUGGGCGAAGGCGGGGUCUCUGGGCCGUAACUGACGCUGAGGAGC
rnacentral:rRNA from 1 species